rnacentral:rRNA from 1 species
UACGAAGGGGGCUAGCGUUGCUCGGAAUUCCUGGGCGUAAAGCGCACGUAGGCGGCUUGUUAAGUCAGGGGUGAAAUCCUGGAGCUCAACUCCAGAACUGCCUUUGAUACUGGCGAGCUUGAGUUCGGGAGAGGUGAGUGGAACUGCGAGAGUAGAGGUGAAAUUCGUAGAUAUUCGCAAGAACACCAGUGGCGAAGGCGGCUCACUGGCCCGAUACUGACGCUGAGGUGCGAAAGCCAGGGGAGCGAACGGG